rfam:Modestobacter marinus str. BC501 chromosome, complete genome.
GGCUUUCUUCGCGGCGGAGCUCGACCGCCCCUCCCGCUGAUCGUCGCCUACAUCGAUCAGCACAAGCUCGAACACGGGGUCGAGCCGAUCUGCGCGGUCCUCACCGAGGCCGGCGCGAAGAUCGCCCCG